CGGGAAUAUUGCACAAUGGGCGAAAGCCUGAUGCAGCAACGCCGCGUGAGUGAUGACGGCCUUCGGGUUGUAAAGCUCUGUCUUUGGGGACGAUAAUGACGGUACCCAAGGAGGAAGCCACGGCUAACUACGUGCCAGCAGCCGCGGUAAUACGUAGGUGGCAAGCGUUGUCCGGAUUUACUGGGCGUAAAGGGUGCGUAGGCGGACCUUUAAGUGAGAUGUGAAAUCCCCGAGCUUAACUUGGGGGCUGCAUUUCAAACUGGAGGUCUAGAGUGCAGGAGAGGAGAGUGGAAUUCCUAGUGUAGCGGUGAAAUGUGUAGAGAUUAGGAAGAACACCAGUGGCGAAGGCGACUCUCUGGACUGUAACUGACGCUGAGGCACGAAAGCGUGGGGAGCAAACAG
rnacentral:rRNA from 1 species